rnacentral:rRNA from 1 species
GACGAACCGAGCGACCGUUGUUCGGAAUCACUGGGCUUAAAGGGCGCGUAGGCGGGCCGCCGCGUCCGGGGUGAAAUCCUCCCGCUCAACGGGAGAACGGCCUCGGAUACGGGCGGUCUGGAGGGGGGUAGGGGCGUGCGGAACUGUGGGUGGAGCGGUGAAAUGCGUUGAUAUCCACAGGAACUCCGGUGGCGAAGGCGGCACGCUGGACCCCACCUGACGCUGAGGCGCGAAAGCCAGGGGAGCGAACGGG